AUUGAACGCUGGCGGCAGGCCUACAACAUGCAAGUCAGGCGAGCGGCGGACGAGUGAGUAAUGUAUGGAGAUCUGCCUGAUGGAGGGGGAUAACUACUGGAAACGGUAGCUAAUACCGCAUACCAUCAACUCAAGCCAUAUGGGAUUAUCUUGUAGGUGAGGUAACGGCUCACCGAGGCGACGAUCCCUAGCUGGUCUGAGAGGAUGAUCAGCCACACUGGGACUGAGACACGGCCCAGACUCCUACGUGAGGCAGCAGUGGGGAAUAUUGCACAAUGGGCGCAAGCCUGAUGCAGCCAUGCCGCGUGUAUGAAGAAGGCCUUCGGGUUGUAAAGUACUUUCAGUCGGGAGGCGUUACCGACAGAAGAAGCACCGGCUAACUCCGUGCCAGCCGCCGCGGUAAUUC
rnacentral:rRNA from 1 species